rnacentral:rRNA from 1 species
AUUACCGAGUGCGGGCCCCUCGGGGCCCAACCUCCCACCCGUGUUGCCCGAACCUAUGUUGCCUCGGCGGGCCCCGCGCCCGCCGACGGCCCCCCUGAACGCUGUCUGAAGUUGCAGUCUGAGACCUAUAACGAAAUUAGUUAAAACUUUCAACAACGGAUCUCUUGGUUCCGGCAUCGAUGAAGAACGCAGCGAAAUGCGAUAACUAAUGUGAAUUGCAGAAUUCAGUGAAUCAUCGAGUCUUUGAACGCACAUUGCGCCCUCUGGUAUUCCGGAGGGCAUGCCUGUCCGAGCGUCAUUGCUGCCCUCAAGCCCGGCUUGUGUGUUGGGCCCCGUCCCCCCCGCCGGGGGGACGGGCCCGAAAGGCAGCGGCGGCACCGCGUCCGGUCCUCGAGCGUAUGGGGCUUCGUCACCCGCUCUAGUAGGCCCGGCCGGCGCCAGCCGACCCCCAACCUUUAAUUAUCUCAGGUUGACCUCGGAUCAGGUAGGGAUACCCGCUGAACUUAAGCAUAUCAAUAAGCGGAGGAAAAGAAACCAACCGGGAUUGCCCUAGUAACGGCGAGUGAAGCGGCAAGAGCUCAAAUUUGAAAGCUGGCCCCCUCGGGGUCCGCAUUGUAAUUUGCAGAGGAUGCUUCGGGAACGGC